rnacentral:tRNA from 1 species
GGCCCGCUAGCUCAAUUGGAUAGAGCAGGUCCGUCCUAAGGAUAAGGUUGUAGGUUCAACUCCUACGCGGGUCACCA